AGGAGAGCAGCAGCUGCCACACUCUUCAGAUAUCUCUCUAUUUAAAGUUCAAAGAGGUGCAGGAUAACAAUAAGGAAGAAAGACUCCUGGCCCUGACUAAGCCACCCAACAAUAGAAAUAAUGGCUGAGAAAGAGUCAACAUCACCACACCUCAUAGUUCCCAUUCUUCUCCUGGUUGGAUGGAUUGUAGGCUGCAUCAUCGUUAUUUACAUUGUCUUCUUCUAGAAAAGGAAGAAGACUUCAAUCUGACACCAUUUAGAAGAAUAAAAAUACAGGAAUAUAACUGAUUAUUAAAGGUGUCUUGUAUUAAAUAGCUGUAGUAUUUCCUAUCUUUUGGAAACUACAAUUUUUUACAUGAGAAUACAUUAAGAAUUUGCUUAAAAUUACAGAUUAAAAAUAUUGAAGAAAAUCAUAUAAGCUGAAGAGAUGGGUCAGCAGUUUAGAGCACAGGCUGCUUUAUAGAGGACCUUGGUUCAAUUCCCAGUAUUCAUGUCGCACCUCACAAGGUCUGUUACUCUACUUCCAAGCAAUCCAACACAUUCUUCUAGCAUCCUUGAACCCCAGGCAAGCAAGUGAUGCAAAGACAUAUAUGCAAACAAAAU
rnacentral:lncRNA from 1 species